rnacentral:tRNA from 1 species
GGGGGUAUAGCUUAUGGUAGAGUGCUUGCCUAGCAUGUGUGAGGCCCUGGGUUCAAUCCCCAGUACCACUA